AUGCACACAAAUGGUUUCUCACAAACUUCGACUGUUCCUUGUUAUGGGUUAAGAUCACUCAAGCUAUGGAUGGUAUUGAGGCUUUAUGGCGUGGAAAACCUGCAGAGCUAUAUCAGAAAGCACAUACAGUUGGCUAAACGGUUUGAACAACUUGUAUUAUCUGAUUCAAGAUUUGAGGUAGUAACUCCAAGGAACUUUUCCCUUGUGUGUUUCCGCCUUCUGCCCCCAACUUCGGAGGAUGACAAUGGCCGUAACCUUAACUACAGCCUAAUGGAUACCUGUAACUCAAGUGGAAAGAUCUUCAUAUCACAUACGGUUCUUUCCGGAAAAUUUGUCUUGAGAUUUGCCGUUGGAGCACCACUGACCGAGGAGAAACAUGUGGAUGCUGCUUGGAAGCUUUUGCAAGAUGAGGCCAGCAAGAUAGAUCUUAGGAAGUUCGUAGAUUAUAAAUGCAGAUGCUUAUUGAUUAAGCUCCACCAUUUAGGCCUAUUAUCUUGA
rnacentral:rRNA from 1 species